UUUCCGUAGGUGAACCUGCGGAAGGAUCAUUCAUAAUAAGUGUUUUAUGGCACUUUUUUAAAUCCAUAUCCACCUUGUGUGCAAUGUCAGGGUUGAUUUUUCUCUCGAGAGGAUCAGGCCCAAACAUCAACUAUAUCUCAACUCUUUGUCUGAAAAAUAUUAUGAAUAAAACAAUUCAAAUACAACUUUCAACAACGGAUCUCUUGGCUCUC
rnacentral:misc_RNA from 1 species